GACGAACGCUGGCGGCGUGCUUAACACAUGCAAGUCGAACGGAAAGGCCCUGCUUGCCGGGUACUCGAGUGGCGAACGGGUGAGUAACACGUGGGUGAUCUGCCCUGCACUUCGGGAUAAGCCUGGGAAACUGGGUCUAAUACCGGAUAGGAGCCAUUUUUAGUGUGAUGGUUGGAAAGUUUUUUCGGUGUAGGAUGAGCUCGCGGCCUAUCAGCUUGUUGGUGGGGUAAUGGCCUACCAAGGCGGCGACGGGUAGCCGGCCUGAGAGGGUGGACGGCCACAUUGGGACUGAGAUACGGCCCAGACUCCUACGGGAGGCAGCAGGGGGGAAUAUUGCACAAUGGGCGCAAGCCGGAUGCAGCGACGCCGCGUGGGGGAUGACGGCCUUCGGGUUGUAAACUCCUUUCGCUAGGGACGAAGCUUUUUGUGACGGUACCUAGAUAAGAAGCACCGGCUAACUACGUG
rnacentral:rRNA from 1 species